CCGGGAUAGCUCAGUUGGUAGAGCAGGGGACUGAAAAUCCUCGUGU
rnacentral:tRNA from 1 species